GUUUGUAUGCUUUUCUCAUUUGUCUUUUAUUUUAGGUGCCUCCACCAUGAACCUGGUGAUGGAUGAGGAAAGGAGUCUUUCCUGCCUUGUGUGAGCUCAUAUCCAUUUUGUUGUUCAAGUAUUUAUUGUCUAUAGUUUAUUAUUAAGAGUAGCCUUGGCUGUCAACCUCAUAAGCCACACUGGAGGACUAAAGGAACCAGAGGAGAAUACAUGUAAGAAUGAAAUAGAAUACUGUAUCCAAAAGACUUAAAAUCAACAUGCUAUAGUGAUGGUGAUUUUAAGUUUAUGUUUAUAGCAGCUAGAUUCCAACAGCUAAACUAUGGAACCAAUCUAGGUGCUCUUUGACUGAUGAAUGGAUAAAGAAAAUGUCGUAUAUAUACAUAAUGGAAUAUUACUCAGCCAUAAAGAGAAAUAAAACUAUGGCAUUUGCUGGUAAAUGGAUGGAACUGGAGACUCUCAUGCUAAGUGAAAUAAGACAAUCCCCAAAUACCAAAGGUGAAUGUUCUUUGUGAUAUGCGGAUGCUAACUCACAAUGCGGGGGGGGAUGAUUACACAAGGAAAAAAAUUGAAGUACUUUGGAUUAGACAAAGGGGAAUGAAGAGAAGGGAGGGGGAUUGGAAAUAGGAAAGUUAAUAGAAUGAUUCGGACAUUACUCUGAUAUGUUAGUGUAUAUUUAUAUAUGAAUACCUGAACAAUGUAAUUUCACAUCAUGUACAACCAAAAGAAUGAGAAGUUGUACUCCAUAUAUGUAUUAUAUGUCAAAAUACAUUCUACUGUUAUAAAUAUAAAAAAGAAUAAAUAAAUAAAUUAAUUAAAAAAUAGAUCCUAGUGCCAACAAAUACCAGGGGUCCAUGUAAGAAGCAGCCCACCAUGUUUCUUUUUCCAUUGGCUUGAAUUUGUUUAACUGUAGAGGGAAAAUUCUCAGUGCUUAUUCAGAGAGAUGCUAAAAGAAAGGCAGUGGUACCAAGGAGAAAUUUUUCUUUCAGUUUGCUUAUUUUGUUAAGGAAAAGCAAUUAGUUGUUGCCUUUGGUUCAAGAAAUAAUCCAGUAGAUGUGACAUGCCUGCAAAAAAGACCAAAACAUUGAGAUUAAUCAAAAUUUAUGAGAUCACUUACUAUUUUUUUAAACUGUUUCUUACUAGUUUUAUCCUUGUCCAACUUCUUUGUUUAAAGUUUCCAUCCUAAGAAAUAGAGUUUCAAAAUCUACCAGGUAUCAAGCCAUUUUGUAACUGAAUCAUAUAUUAUAAAAAUCUGACUAUAGCAAGUUUGGACAGGUUAUUUGAAAAAUAUGAUAUAUAUUUCUACAUAAUGGGAGAUAUGAAAAAUGAGGAAAACAAAGAGAUAAUCUUCCUUCAAAUUAUUCCAAAAUAAAUUCUAAGUAUUUUGAAAUAUUUGUAGUGGGAAAGAAAUGUUAUCAGUCUUGGAAGUCAGAGAGUUUUUUUUAUUGCUUUCCUCUGUCCUUACAGGGGUGGAAAAGUUGACCCCACUUGUUGACUAGAGGAGUCCCAAAGUCACGUUGCAGUUGUGAGAGAAGAGUUGAGACAUCCACUUUAGAAUAAUUCACAUCUUUCCUCUUUUUACCUGUAAGCACUACUGUGUUUUAGACCCGUGUUUUAUCACUUUUGCUGGGAUGCUAAGGGCAAUUACCUCCUACCUGGUCUCCCCAACAUGUACCUUCCACAUGGAUGUAAGGGCAAUGUAUUUAAAAUGAAAACCUAUUCUUUAUAUUCCAUUGCUCCACACCCUUCUAGCUUCCCUAUAGAAGCAAGCCCUUCAACCUAGGAAGCUCUUCCUCAUCUGUUAAACUUUCCAACCUAUUUACACAGCACUUUUUAAAAAAAACUAGUUGCUCCCAGCUCUCUUGCCCUGCUCUUGGACAUGUAUGCAAGCCAUGGUGCUGUGACCAUUCCCUCGGUUGUAUCCUUAUUUUUUUUUUCUUGAGGAUACCUUCCAGUUCUCUAGGAUCAGGCGUUACCUCCCCAACCCAAUUUACAACAUGAUUUCAAACUACCUUAGAAGUUUUCUUUCUCAUUUCUGACCACUGUGCCUCAUAGCCAUGAUGCAUUAAAUGGAAACACAGUUCUCAAUACACAGACUGUUGUAAAAAUUAAAUGAUACUGGAAUAUGUGAAGUGCUUAUAACAAUACCAGCACACAGGGGCUGCUCAAAAGACUUUAGGUAUUAUUAUUGUUAAUGCUAGUCACGUAUACCUUAUAUUUCUGGAAAAUUGCAAUAAUUCUGAAAAGUGUCUCAUCUCAAUAUCUUUGUUAAUAUUCUUUGCUCUCCUUGAAAUUUUCUAUCCCAAUUUCUGUCUGUACCCACUUUCUCUAGGCCUCAAAGUCUAUUUUAAAUUUCACAAAUUCUUCAAUGAAAAUAUGUUUCUUCUCCAAACUUUAAACUUUGUUUAUAGACCCUCUCAGCAUCUGCAUAUUCAGUUCAUCUUAUUUAUGGAAUCUUUGAAAAUUAAGAUUAUAUUACAUAUUCUUAUUACUGUAAUUCCCAAUAUCAUCUUUAUUCAAGAAAGUUGAUACUCAUUGUCUCAAAUUAGC
rnacentral:lncRNA from 1 species